GAUGUCGAGAAAAGGGAAUGACUUUGGUGUGAUUACCCUUGGCAGUCUUCAAAAUCUUGGGGUGACGAAUAAGCUUGUACUAGUGAAUAGUAGCAACACCGUCAGUAUGUGGCCUCAGUCCAACAGGCUCAUCCGGACCACGGUCAGCGUAGCCUAGAGAGUUGAUGAAGGUCUUCCAGUUGGAGUGCAGCACACGACCACCAUUCAUCC
rnacentral:lncRNA from 1 species